rnacentral:rRNA from 1 species
AGCGAACGCUGGCGGCAGGCCUAUCACAUGCAAGUCGAACGAACCCUUCGGGGUUAGUGGCGGACGGGUGAGUAACACGUGGGAACGUGCCCUUUGGUUCGGAACAACUCAGGGAAACUUGAGCUAAUACCGAAUGUGCCCUUCGGGGGAAAGAUUUAUCGCCAUUGGAGCGGCCCGCGUCUGAUUAGCUUGUUGGUGAGGUAAAGGCUCACCAAGGCUACGAUCAGUAGCUGGUCUGAGAGGAUGAUCAGCCACAUUGGGACUGAGACACGGCCCAAACUCCUACGGGAGGCAGCAGUGGGGAAUCUUGCGCAAUGGGCGAAAGCCUGACGCAGCCAUGCCGCGUGAAUGAUGAAGGUCUUAGGAUUGUAAAAUUCUUUUACCAGGGACGAUAAUGACGGUACCUGGAGAAAAAGCCCCGGCUAACUUCGUGCCAGCCGCCGCCGUAAAAC